UACGAAGGGGGCUAGCGUUGCUCGGAAUCACUGGGCGUAAAGCGCACGUAGGCGGUUUUCUAAGUCAGGGGUGAAAUCCUGGAGCUCAACUCCAGAACUGCCUUUGAUACUGGAGAGCUUGAGUCCGGAAGAGGUGAGUGGAACUCCGAGUGUAGAGGUGAAAUUCGUAGAUAUUCGGAAGAACACCAGUGGCGAAGGCGGCUCACUGGUCCGGUACUGACGCUGAGGUGCGAAAGCGUGGGGAGCAAACAGG
rnacentral:rRNA from 1 species